GACGAUAUUAACCUCAGAAAAAAUCUUUGGUCGAAGCAGCAGCCAAAAAACCCGAAACCAAAAACAACAAAGUUCUAUUCUAUUGAAGAGCUCCAGCACGAUGGCUUCCCUCUCUACAUUGCUCCCGAACCCGAACCUUAUUUCCAAGCACAACAGCACCCUUUCUUCCACUCACCCAUGUGCUUAUUCCUGGAAAAACAAAACCCCAACCAGUAAGGGUCGGUUCUCCGUUUCUUGUUCUUCUUCGUCUCAAGCAUACGACGUCGUCGUAGUUGGCGCUGGCGUCAUUGGCUUAACCAUCGCUCGCCACUUCCUCGUUUCUUCCGACCUUUCUGUCGCCGUAGUCGAUAAGGCUGUCCCUUGUUCCGGUGCCACUGGCGCAGGGCAGGGACAUCUGUGGAUGGUAAACAAAACCCCUGGGAGUGCUACGUGGGAUCUUGCGUCAAGGAGUCAUCAACUUUGGAAGACGCUGGUACAGAGCAUAGAAGAGCAAGGUUUGGAUCCUAUGGUGGAGUUGGGUUGGAAACAGUCUGGAAGCCUAUUAAUUGGUAGGACUGAUGCUGAGUCAGACGUGCUAAAAGGGAGGGUGAAACUACUAUGUGAGGCUGGGUUGAAAGCAGAGUACCUGUGUAGCAGUGAUUUGAUUAAAGAGGAACCUGAUCUACUGGUGGACAAAGACAGUGCAGCUGCAUUUCUACCAGAUGACUGCCAAAUAGAUGCUUAUCGCACUGUUGCAUAUAUUGAAAAGACUAACAGGAGUUUUGCAUCAAAAGGAAGAUAUACAGAAUUUUAUGAUGACCCAGUGAAAUGUUUCAUCAGGUCAGAUAGCAAUGGAGAGGUCAAAGCUGUUCAGACUUCCAAGAACACAAUAUACAGCAAGAAAGCAGUUAUAGUUGCAGCUGGUUGUUGGACUGGUUCUUUGAUGCAGGACUUGUUUAGAAAUUGGGGAAUGGAUUUACAUGUUCCAGUAAUGCCCAGAAAGGGUCACCUACUUGUGGUUCAAAAUUUCAAUUUCCUUCAAAUGAAUCAUGGCUUGAUGGAGGCAGAUUAUCUCAACCAUCCAACAAUUUCUGGUUCAGAAUCCCCUGAUCAUCAAAAGAACUUAUCUGUUUCAAUGGUAGCAAGUAUAGAUGCAGCAGGAAAUCUUCUUCUUGGGAGUAGCCGUGAAUUUGUUGGUUUCAACACCAAUUUGGACGAGUCUGUUGUCAGUUACAUAUGGAAGCGAGUUGGAGAAUUCUUUCCCAAAUUGAAAACACUUCCACUUUCAGAUCUAAGUGCAAGUAGAAAAGUCAGAAUAGGAUUACGACCUUACAUGUUACUGUCAGUGCCUAAUGGGAAGCCAGUGAUUGGGCCUGUGCCUGGCUUGUCAAAUGUGUACCUUGCAGCUGGACAUGAAGGGAGUGGACUUUUAAUGGCUUUGGGGACUGCUGAAAUGAUCGUUGAGAUGGUGUUGGGAUAUCCAGCAAAAGUUGAUAGCACACCUUUCGCUGUGCAGAAAGUUCUUGUUUAAAAUUUGCACAACUUUGGAGAAUUCUAAGUAAUUAGCUCUAGUUUUAUGUGAACAAGGGUUGUGCAUUGGUCGGGUACGGGUUGCAAAUCCUUCAUCAAGCUAAAAUGACGGGUGUUGUCAUCCACAUUGUCUCUGGCUGUUUCCCAUAUGCGAGUUUCAGUCUAAGUGGGUUGCAUGUUAGUUGGGAACAAUCAAAUAUAAUUGAUAGGGAUGGUGAGCAGAUAAAUUAGACACUACUACGACGCUAGAUAUUUGAUACCAUGUGAAUCUAUUUGGUGUAUAUUUUUUUUUAUAUAUUCAUUCUAAGCCUCCUUAUUUUCAAAGAGUGAAUUUUCAUUCAUCCAAACAACAAGUUAUUGUCUUUAGGAAUACACAAAUGAUUGAUAAUGUUCUCACUUAUCAUGGUGAUAAAAAAAAUAUUUCUUGUUUGGAUGAAGGUUAAUUGAAAAUAUGCUAAAGGCACACACCUUACAUUUA